CCUACGGGGGUCAGCAGUGAGGAAUAUUGGUCAAUGGACGCAAGUCUGAACCAGCCAUGCCGCGUGCAGGAAGACGGCUCUAUGAGUUGUAAACUGCUUUUGUACGAGGGUAAACGCAGACACGUGUACCUGUCUGCAAGUAUUGUAUGAAUAAGGAUCGGCUAACUCCGUGCCAGCAGCCGCGGUAAUACGGAGGAUUCGAGCGUUAUCCGGAUUUAUUGGGUUUAAAGGGUGCGUAGGCGGUCGGUUAAGUUAGUGGUGAAAUCUUGAGGCUCAACUUCGGAAUUGCCAUUGAUACUGGUCGGCUUGAGAAUAGUUGCGGUAGGCGGAAUGUAUGGUGUAGCGGUGAAAUGCUUAGAGAUCAUGCAGAACACCGAUUGCGAAGGCAGCUUACCAAGCUGCUUCUGACGUUGAGGCACGAAAGCGUGGGGAGCAAACAGGAUUAGAUACCCGAGUAGUC
rnacentral:rRNA from 1 species